rnacentral:lncRNA from 1 species
UUAGCUGACUGCGAAGGAAAUGGAAGCUCCUGUCAUCUGCUCACUGAUCAAUAUCUGGGUGACUUGGUCGAGAGUUUAGGGUUGCAAAAGGUGAUAAGGUGCCUCACUUGUCUUCAUUGGAUACAGAUUAAAAUAACUCAUCUCCUGAUGGUAGUGGUGAGAUUUGCGACAAUUGGAUUAGCAGCAUUUUAAACUGUAGACUUACUGGAAGCAAAUUCACUAAUACCAAAAGAAGAGAUGAAUUAGUUGUAACGCCUUGUGGUUGUGCUUCCAAGCAGGAAAGACAGCUGCUGUCCCUUGAUGCAUUUUGGAUUCAACGUGAAAAGCAACGGUUCAGUCUUUCAUGGGAAAGCUCUGAGGAAGCUUUGUCUUGUCUCCUGGACUAUCUCCUGAGAGAAAGUAUUGUCAGCCAGGAGUCAAAUAAAGCCAGGCCUGGAGAUUCAGAGGAGACGAUGAGCUUUGCCUUUGCUCUGUUGGUAUUCAUCUGGGAAUGCUCUGUGAAAAUCCAUUUCCCAAAGAUGAAUUAUGAUCCCCUAAAACCUUUCACUGAAG